rnacentral:rRNA from 1 species
CCGUUAACGGCGGCCCGGGGCGACCCGAGGGAAAGCGCAACAGAAAAUAUACCGCCUAACCGGCGUUUUGCGUCGGCGGUAAGGUUGAAAUCGUGACCCCGGGCCCUCGAGGCCCCUGAAGAGCCGUUCAAGACCAGGACGUUGAUAGGCUGGAUGUGUAAGCGCUGCGAGGCGUUGAGCUAACCAGUACUAAUUGCUCGUGCGGCUUGACUAU